GCAGGAACCUCUGGACUGACAGGAAACCACGCAUUUUGGGGUGACAAGUGCCCUGGAGACAGACAAAGAAAGAUGAGAAGAGGCUGGAAUCUCCAGAGUCCAAAAAUUAACUGCACGAUUGAGCAUAUGACAUAUUUGGGAACCAUUGACCAAAACUGCCCGCCUUGGCCAGGUAUGAUAAUAACUACCUGCAUGAGCUGUCACACAAAAGGAGGCCCCAAUAAGGAACAGGACGCUGCCGCAGAAAACUCAC